GCAGCGUCUAUCGAUGAAACUGUAUGAAAUCAAAUUACAUACAUGCCUGUCAACUAAAAACAGGUAUUCAUAUGAUGUAAUUUGUGUAUCGAAACACGAAUAUUGUAUGUUUGUGCUAUAAUUAUUAUGGCAAACAGUUGCAAUAGCUGUUUUUCUUGACGAGAUUGUCGGCUUUUGGACCCCGCCUCGUUUUGCAGAUUAACCAAUCAGUGAACGAUCGCCGUCAAAAAGAUGUUUGUAGUUUGCAGAAUGGAAAGAACCUUGCAGCGAAAAUUAUUUUCACUUCUACGUGAAAAUCUAACCAGAAAACUCACCUGUCAAUUACAAGAUACAGUAUGCCAUUCCAGCUUUGAUAAAUAUAAAGUAAUGGUUUGAAUUUGGAGAGCUUUAUUAUUAUAGACAGGGAUGAUGACCUGCAGUGAGACAGCAGUAGAAAGUUACUUAUAACUCAUCAUGGCCAUUAUGGAAGAUCUGAUUAAAAUUUGUUUAGAAAGCCACCAAAUAUGUCCAUGAAAAGUAGAAAAAAGACAGCAAUUCUACAUAAUGUACUAAGCAGAAGCAUUGACUGUUUCAAGACCAAAUGAAUUGGAAUUUAGUGUUUUGAUGCUGAGAGACAGAGGAAUAUUAACUGGACAAUUUAGCUUCUUUUUCAUCAUCAUUGAAGUUGAUGUUUACCAUCUUAAAGAGCUUUAACCUCAGUUAAAAUGAAUUCUAAAUAUAGGCAGUUUGGAGAUUUGUGAAUUUUCUUACAAUUGGAGUUUCAAAAAAGGAUUUCAUUUAAAAAAAAAUGUAUUUCACUGAUGUAAUUUGUCGUCUCUUUCAUGAAAUA